GACGAACGCUGGCGGCGUGCCUAAUACAUGCAAGUCGAGCGAAAGGACGAGAAGCUUGCUUCUCUGACGUUAGCGGCGGACGGGUGAGUAACACGUGGAUACCCUACCUAUAAGACUGGGAUAACUUCGGGAAACCGGAGCUAAUACCGGAUAAUAUUUUGAAGCGCAUUGGUCAUAAGUGAAAGACGGUCUUGCUGUCACUUAUAGAUGGAUCCGCGCUGCAUUGGCUAGUUGGUGAGGUAACGGCUUACCAAGGCAACGAUGCAUGGCCGAACUGAGAGGGUGGUCAGCCGCACUGGGACUGAGACACGGUCCAGACGCCUACGGAAGGGACCAGUAGGCAAUCGGCAGGAAGGGGCGAAAGCCUUACGGCACAGCGCGGCGGGAGUGAGGAGGGUCGUCGGAUCGGAAAACUCUGUUUUUAGGGAGGAACAUAUGUGCACGUAACUGUGCGCGUCUGGGCGGUACAUGAGCAGAGAGCCACGGCUAACUUCGUG
rnacentral:rRNA from 1 species